GUUUAUGGCCAUACCACCUUGAAUGCGCCCGAUCUCAUCUGAUAUCAGAAGCUAAGCAGGGUUAGGCCUGGUUAGUACUUUGAUGAAAGAGAUAAUAAAUU
rnacentral:rRNA from 1 species